AGAUUGAACGCUGGCGGCAUGCUUUACACAUGCAAGUCGAGCGUCAGCGCGGGGCAACCCUGGCGGCGAGCGGCGAACGGGUGAGGAACACAUCGGAACGUGCCCCGGAGUGGGGGAUAACGCCGCGAAAGCGGCGCUAAUACCGCAUAUGCUCUGAGGAGGAAAGC
rnacentral:rRNA from 1 species